ensembl:lncRNA
UUGCAAUGGGAAACACUGAAAUUAUAAACUGUCAUAGUGGAAACAUGACAAUGCCAUUUGACUAUCUUGUUCAUAAAGAUGGUGUCAAGACUUUUCAUUUUGAUGGCACUGACAGUUUCAUUGACAUGGAUACUUGCUUUUGAGGUAUGGAUAAUCAAUUCUGUGCAUGUGACGUGCUUUUGCAGGCUAUCCACUAGGUUUUGCAGUUUGCACUAAUUGUUUUGGGAAAUGCACUAACUGCUGUGCAAAUGUUAAUGGUGUUCUGAGGAACGCACCAAAGCGACUGAGAAAAACUGUAAGCAUUAUCAGGUGGAGGGUGGGGGGAGGUGCUGGGAAGUUUAUUUCACAAAACUAAAAAGUUGACACGACAUGCUCUCAUGUCCUUUACAUUUCCUGCUGAGAUAUUUUUAGAGCAUACAGGGGAAAAAAGAAAAGAAAAAAGAAACCCAAGCUUAUAGAUAGAUAGAUAGAUAGAUAGAUAGAUAGAUAGAUAGAUAGAUAGAUAGAUAGAUAGAUAGAUAGAUAGAUAGAUAGAUAGAUAGAUAGAUAGAUAGAUAGAUAGAUAGAUGCAUAAACACUGAUCUUUUUUUAUUCUAAUGACAAUAUCCCGAAAAACAGAGCAUUUCCUUCCUCUGGAUUUUCUCCCUGAUCCAUUCUUUCAGGGAAUCACAGUGGUCUGUGUUUUUGUAGUUGUUUUUCCCUUCCCACAUCUCUUACAUCUUCUCCAUGUACUAGUACACAGUUAGGUAGGAGCUCUUGAGCUGCCACAUAAAUAAUCUUCCAGAAUAGGAAAAAUUGAAUAAAAAUAUAAUCUAAAAUAAAAAAAAGAAAUGCAUUUAAACAAUGACUGGAAAAAAGAAAGUGAAGCCAAGGAAAAGGCAAAUGUGAAAUUGAAAGUAUUUAGUUCCAUUACAUGCAGACAGGAGGAUGUGGGUGAAGGAAGCAAAAGUACAAACACAUGCACAUGAAGGGACUUGACAAGACUAAGGUUGAGAGAUUUGACACACACGGAGAAGAGAGAGAGAGAGAAGGGAAAACAAAAGGAGACUGAAAAAUAUGAAAGCCAAAGCUGAUGCAAAGCACUCCUGCACUCCUUACAAAUGCCCCUCCUCUCAGUCAGUGAUAACAAACAGAAUCCAAAACCAAACCUUGGCAUAUAUAUCAAAACUGUAGGAGCAGGGGGA